rnacentral:rRNA from 1 species
AUGCGGGCCCUUUUCUGGAACAUCCGCGGCUUCGGCCAUGAUGGUCGUCGCCGCCAACUCAUUGAGUACAUUCGUGACGAACACAUUGACAUCAUUGCCAUCCAGGAAACCUUGCGUACUGAGUUCGCCCUUCAGGAGCUUGAGCGCCUUAGCUCCCACCUCUUUGCUUGGCACUGGCUCCCUUCUAGUGGGACCUCAGGCCAUUCUGGCGGCAUCCUCUUAGGGCUAAAGGAUGCCACCUUUGAGGUGGGUGGCAUGGACCGGGGCGAAUUCUUCAUUAGUAUGGAGAUCUUCGAGCGCGCCUUGAAUUUCAAAUGGGAGGUCAUUAUUGUAUAUGGACCGGCUGACCACCGCCGCUCCCCGGCCUUCCUAACAGAGCUGCGGCUGAAGAUCUCUAACUCCCUCCUCCCAGUUCUUGUGGGCGGAGACUUUAAUCUCAUCCGAUCCCCGGAUGAGAAGAAUAAUGAUCGGAUUAACUUCGCUCGGAUGCAAUUAUUCAACGAUUGGAUCGCGGAGCUGGGGCUCCGCGAACUUGAUCGGACGGGUGCCAGGUUCACCUAG